AAAGAUUUAGUUAAAAUAUAACAUUAGAAUGUCAAACUAAAAUUAUUAAAUAAUUAAUAAUCUUUA
rnacentral:tRNA from 3 species